GAUUCAAGCAUGUAAACAUAAACAAACGACCAGCUCAGAUCGGGAUUUCACUACUAAGUUACUCCAGUUGUCGCGCAGCCUGGCUUAUCUUUGGCACACAUUGAAAAUCUGGACAGUUUUUCUUCAAGGGCUUGCAAGCGUUCUCACCAAAUAAGUAUUUGAUAAAAAUGAUGUUUUAUCAACACCGCAAGGAGACAUCAAUCCAUCGUCAAACACCGAAGAUGACAAAAUGAAAUCAUUUCAGACUACCGAUGGCUUUGAUGUUCAUAUGGACGUCGAUUUACACUGAAAUCCAUCGGUGGAGAAUGUUACCAGCCGAAGUUUGAGAUUCCGAAUGUUUACUGGGUACAUCCGUUCGAGGUUAAAUACUAGCGAGUUGGUCAUACGCUGCUCUACUCUACGAUACAGGCUUCAGUACACCCGUUAACUCACACAUAGAACGAACGUUUCAUUUCAGUUUUCUAUCCGUAGUACAAGGAAGGUGCUGUGACCACUAAGUCUGGCUAAAUCAAUGGCAUUUGCUUCUAAAAAAUCCGUUUCGGAAAAUUUGUCUUUGAAUCGAAGGUUGAGCUAAAAUCAGUGUACUCAUUACGUGUGAUGAUUGAACAUAUUGAACUUACCAUGCUUUCUUAAGGUCUGAGGACACAGGGCCACGUGUUGAGUUUUAAAUCGACCACGUGGCUCGCUCAAUUCUCUUUGCGCAUCGUAUUUUUCUUGUACUCUCUCGUAUAUGAGCAAACUGUACCGGGUUACCAGCAUACAUUUUAUUAUUUUGAUGAGAAGUUUUAUCACAUUAAUCCAUCGUAUGGGUUGGACAUUACAUGGAUUCCAAUGAACAAUGAAAAAAUAUUCAACUUUCACAAAGAUUGAAUCUGUGUGUUUGGCAGCCUUGUCGAGCACAUUUUAUUUCUCUCUCCUUUUUCAGAAUGCUAUCAGGAAACCAAAGCGAAUAAAAAUGGUGGAUGCAUUGAAACUGACUUUGUUUCACAGAAAAAUACAAGACUAUUUUUAUCGCGAUAAGAUAUAUGUUUUUAUGUACUAAUCGCAUCUAAACUAAAUUAUCUAGACUUUGUCAAGGUAGAUUUAUGAUACAAGGUUUCAAAGCCGAGAUAUUCGAUGAACAAGUAGAGGUAUGCAUUUCCGAGCGUUCCAAUUUUCAGCAGUUCUUCAGUCAGAAAAAAAACAGCACGACCGCUAAACUCAAUGAAUCAUUCUGAAAAUUUCACAGAAUAUUCUCAACUAUAUUUCGAAGACAUUGUCAGGUGGGUUUUUCUGCAUUCUGCACCGUUUCCAAGAAAAUUUAAUUUGAAACGGGAAAAUAUCAAAAAACCUACCACUUUACGGUACUGUCCUCAGCCCUUAAGAUCCGACGUUGAAAACCACAAAAUUUAAGCUGCAUUUCUCUCGACUGAUAAUCUUUGGUCCCGAAAUGUGCAGAACAUACGCGCCAGUUCCUUCCGCAAAAACCUAUUUUAAUCCACUUAGUGGUGUAAUGAUGCCUUUCUCAUAUUACUCAUUACAUCAUAAAUAUAAUCGUGAAAUUCGCAAAAACAACUGUUUAUUGAAUAGAAAUAGGAUAAUUUGCUCGGAUCUAAUCUCACAAACUCUAUAAAACCUGUUUACUUUGUAGUUCCGGAACCGAAAGUAGUAUCCACAACAAAUUAAGGAAUUCCGUAUGAAACUGUAAGACUUUUCCUUUAAACCUAUAAGUUUGUGAAAAUCGAUUUGGCCAUCUCCAAGAAAAGUAAGUGAGAUCCUUUUUGCAGUUUUUGAUCACUAUUUCCAAUUCUUCCGAUACCGGAUUCAGAUAAACGGAAUAGCCGAAGUUGGUUCGUUUACUACCAACACAUGUGACCUACAAUUUGGAACAGUUUUGGACGUAGUUUAACCUAUACUUACAAUCUCAUGCUCUAUUUCGA